GUGAGGAAUUUUCCGCAAUGGGCGAAAGCCUGACGGAGCAAUGCCGCGUGAAGGAUGAAGGCCUAUGGGUUGUAAACUUCUUUUCUCAGAAAAGAAUUAUGACGGUAUCUGAGGAAUAAGCAUCGGCUAACUCUGUGCCAGCAGCCGCGGUAAGACAGAGGAUGCAAGCGUUAUCCGGAAUGAUUGGGCGUAAAGCGUCUGUAGGUUGUUUAAAAAGUAUUCUGUCAAAGAUUAGGGCUUAAACCUAGAUAGGCAGAAUAAACUUUUAAGCUAGAGUUUGGUAGAGGCAGAGGGAAUGCCCGGUGGAGCGGUGAAAUGCGUAGAUAUCGGGAGGAACACCAAAGGCGAAGGCACUCUGCUGGGCCAAUACUAACACUGAGAGACGAAAGCGAGGGGAGCAAAUGGGAUUAGAUACCCUAGUAGUCC
rnacentral:rRNA from 1 species